AAGAUGAUACACUCUCUGUUCUCAUGCUCCUUAAAUUUGGGGUUGAUGGACUGAGGAUAAAGAUAGAUAAUAGGCAUGUGAAGGAAAAAGAGACUUUCAUGGGGUGGAAGCUUAGAUGAGCUAUUGCAGUGAGUGUCUGGGAGAGGUGUAGCUUUAGGAAGAGUGUUCAUGGAAGACCUUUCUGAAUCAGAGCCCUCCUGGUAGAGAGCAUGGUGAAUGCUUUACCUUUCACUCGGUGCCUUAGAGGAAGCCAGCAAAGCUGAGACCUCUUUUGGAAUUGUUUUCUCACUCUUCAUGUUGCAGAGCUGGCCUGAAAAUAAGCCUUUUUAAUCAUCAGUUUUACACCAUACUUUGUUUUAUUCUUCUUCACAAAUACUGCAUUUUUUGUAAAGUAAAGAUUUGUGUCCAACGUGUGUCAAACGGGUCUAUCACUGAACUUUUCCAGCAGCAUUUGCUUUCUUUUUGUGUCUUUGUCACAUUUUGGUAAUGCUCACAAUAUUUCAGACUUUUAUUAUUAAUGUUAUAUUUGUUAUGAUGAUCAGUGAUCUUUGAUGCUGUCAGUAUGACACACUGAAGGUUCAGAGGAUGAUGAGCAUUUUUCAGUAAUAAAAUAUUUUUAAUUAGUGUAUGAACAUUAUUUUUUAGAUGUCAUGCUAUUGUACCCUUAAUAGACUACAAUGUAGUGUAAACAUAAAUUUUAUAUCACUGGGUAACCGAAAAAUUCACGUGACUCACUCUAUUGUAAUAUUUGCUUUAUUAUGGUGGUCUGGAGCUGAACCUGUAGUAUCUCUAAAGUCUGCUUGUGUUUUGUGAGCCACAUUCUUUCCCAACUCCCUGUCUCUUUCCUCCUUUCUCUGUACUUAUGUUCUUCCUGUUCCUCACCAUACUCAUACUCAUCCCGUCUCUCCUGGUUCAGUCCAAACCAUUAUUUUCUUCAAGUUUCAGUCUGAGGUCUCUGUCUUCUCUGAGUUUCUUUCUUGUUUAUCUCACCUCCAAAUGAUCAUGCUUUUUUUCUCUAGUAUUCCUACGGAACUGUGGUGAAGAAAGGAGAUAUACAUAUAUACAUAUUCUGUCCAUCUUCCAAAAUAGAAAUCCGAAAGACUCAUCCUGCUGAUGAGCUUUGCUAAAAUGACAUCAAUUUUGUUCUGUUGCCUCCUCUUUCAUUCUUGUAGAGAAAUUGAAUUCUGUGGAGCUAGUGAACUAUACCUUUUUUUUUGGUAUGGGUGUUCGUAUUGCUUUUGCAUGUGAUAAUAUAGUGUUGUUUAAUGUGACAAGUUAAUUUUUAAAGGGUUUUUUUUGGCUACCAAUUAAUUUAGUAGUUCAAUCAGAUUUUGGAUAUAAGAAUAUCUGUUGUUUUAACUCUUUUUAAAGUCACCAAAUAAGUGAUUCUAAAUAUGAUCAAUCAAAUAUGUUAAGUGUUCAGAAUAUAGGUAUUUUUUCCUGGCAGACAUCUAAAAUAUUUUUGGCCAUUCUCUUUCACUUCACUUGAAUUGCUUUUAGAACACUGGGACUUAUACAUCUGGACUCUGACUAAAAUAUGCCUUAAGCUCUUAUCUUUAAUUCCCAGUCAGUGCCAGAAUUAAAGAGAACAAAGGCCUAUAUGUUCACUGCAGCCUUCAAUUACGCUUAAUUACCAACUUUCAUACAGUUUCAUUAUACAGUACUGACUUUUUGUGAGACGUUCUUUAUAUUCAUGAUGUCGUGGUAGUUGCUUGUAAAAGUCCAAGAUUAAAAUUUUUCCUGAGGAAUUUUAAGGAAACAUAACCUUUCUAAAGUAAUUUUCAUAAAGUUGGAUCAAAGCAACUUGGUGAUCCAUUUUAACAGACGAGAAACAAGAUGUUUAUAUUUCAUUAUGCUAAAGAACUCUGAUAGGAAAAAUCAAGAGUUUACCUGGGUUAUUCUCUAAGAUAUUCACACCCCACCCCGACAGUUCCUGGUCUGUGGGUCACUUAUGUAAUCCAUUAGAGCCUCAGAUAAAGGGCCUCUCCACUAGUACUGUGGUGUUGUCAUCCUUGUACAGAGAAAACUAGCAGAGGUUGAUAUUCCAUAAGAGAUUUGUCAAUCUUAUAGUAACCCUAAUGUUCUACAAAAUAUCUGUCUUCUAUUUUAGCAGCUCCUUCAUUCCCUUUCAAGAGAAUCAUGAUGCUCUUCGAUAAGUAUUCAAAUAUUAGCAUCUCCUGAGGUUGAAUCAUAUGAAAUCAACACUUAGGCUAAAAAGCAUCAAGUACUGGCAAUUUCUUAAGAGUCAAACAUAAUUCUCUUUAGAACUGUCUCUGGCAUAAGAUGUCAAUAUAGAAAUCUGCUUUUCGGGGAAAUAGUCGUUUCUGUUGGGUUUAAUUCUAUCCAGUUCUUGCUUUUUUGUGGACAGUGAUUUCCUAGACAUGGCCUAGUGUAGUGAGUAUGAUAUAGAAGUUGGGUUAGGAUAACAUAAGAACUGUCUCAGCAUACUUUAUUAUUUUCACUCGCUGUCACACUGAAAGCCAAGUCUCUCAGUUUUCUGGGCCUAGGUCAGCUUUCAAGGCCCAGACUUUGUCUCACUGUGAAAAUCGUUCCCUAGACUUCGGUUCUGUGUAAUCACUUCUUUCUACUAAGAAGACUCAUAUACAAUUAGCACAUUCUCUUUUUUCUUUUAUAAAAGGUAAAAUGUAUGCCCUUUGUCCAAACUAGGUAAUUUUUGAGGGUGUGGUUGGUGCUUUUUCUUCUCUGUUUUUCAAAAGGCGAUUGGUUUUAGUGAAUAUUGAUAGAUUUAAGAUAUUAAAAUCUUCAUUGAAAUUUUUCUUUUUCGAGAUGGACUUUUUUUAGCUGGUCUAGCAUACGAUUUAUAGUUACAUUUUGAGCAAGGUAUUGCAAACUAACAUAGUCAUGUGAAACUUUUAAUGUAGUCAACCUCAAGUGCAUUCUUCCUGAGUCACUGUGGCUUUAUCACCUUCUCAUCUUUGAGGCUGAAGAUAACACCUAUUCUCAUUUCUCAGGGUUAUGGAGACGUGGUUGUGAAUUAGUUACUCAGGUACAAAACAAUCAUACUGUAUAGAAACACAGCAUUUUAUAAUUUAAAAAGUGCUUGUUUUUAGAUAAAAACAAAGAAAAUUUUAGUUGCUGAAGUCUAAAUAAUAUCUGUGUUUCCCUUUUCAUGCUAAUCUGGUGGAGAAAAGGAUUAUGGGAAAGAACAGAUUCAGUGGAACAUAUAUAUGAAAAUUUUAAUUUAAAUUAUACACAGGGAGUUCCCAUCAUGGCGCAGUGGUUAACGAAUCCGACUAGGAACCAUGAGGUUGCGGGUUCGAUCCCUGCCGUUGCUCAGUGGGUUAAUGAUCCGGCGUUGCUGUGAGCUGUGGUGUGGUUACAGACGCGGCUUGGAUCCAGCGUUGCUGUGGCUCUGGCGUAGGCCAGUGGCUACAGCUCCGAUUCGACCCCUAGCCUGGGAACUUCCAUAUGCCGCGGGAGCGGCCCAAAGAAAUAGCAAAAAGAGAAAAAAAAAAAAAA
rnacentral:lncRNA from 1 species